GUCCUGAAACUCGACGAAAAUCGCAAACACUGUAAGGCCAGGAAGUUUGAGUCUGAGACUGACGGAUUCUGCUGUCGCAAUGGCCAGAUCCAGCUUAAGCAACCGGAACCAAUUCCAGAGCUUAUGAGGCUAUGGUCCAGCAUGGAUGCAGAUUCGAGACAUUUUCGGGAGAACAUACGGUUCUUCAACGGGCAUUUCGCCUUCACAACCCUUGGCGUCAGCCUUGAUGAAAACUACACAAGCAUGAGGUCUGGGGUGUACACAUUCCGAGCUCACAGCACCAUCUACCACAAUGUCCAUUCGUUCGGGCCUAGCUCACGUCCAGAACAUCUGCAGUUGUACUUCUAUGACGACGACCCUAACCUAGAUCAUCGUAAGGCGGCCACCAAGCAAUUAGACCAGGAUGUCGUGAAGAGAUUAGUAGACAUACUCAAAGAAAACCCAUACUCCCAGCAAUUUAGGAGUUUGGGUGCACACAAGGACAACCUCGAUGAUUAUAGGAUAGACCUAAACACCGAUAAGAGGCUUGACCAAAGAAGAUAUAAUAGACCGGUGUCCUCUGAGGUCGCUGCAAUUUGGGUUGAGGGAACUGACCUAGCAAAAAGGUUUGACCGCAGGAUAACACUUUGUGGUAACAACAACGAAAGACAUAGUAUACGUGUGACCUCAGGGGCAUACGACCCGUUGUCUUAUCCAUUAUUCUAUCCAAUGGGGGAGCUAGGUUGGCAUCCGAAGCUACCCAAACGUAAUGUUGAUUUGGAGGUUGUACAAAAUCCUCGUUUGUGUCUUGAUGAUGAGGAUGAUGCAGGUAUGUCGUUUUGUGUCCCACUUUGUUACAAAUAA
rnacentral:rRNA from 1 species